rnacentral:rRNA from 1 species
GGAAUUUUGCGCAAUGGGCGAAAGCCUGACGCAGCCAUGCCGCGUGCAGGAAGAAGGCGCUACGCGUUGUAAACUGCUUUUAUCCGGGAAGAAACCCCAGGACGUGUCCUGGUUUGACGGUACCGGCGGAAUAAGCACCGGCUAACUUCGUGCCAGCAGCCGCGGUAAUACGAAGGGUGCAAGCGUUAUCCGGAUUCAUUGGGUUUAAAGGGUGCGUAGGCGGAGCGGUAAGUCAGGGGGGAAAUC